rnacentral:pre_miRNA from 1 species
ACAACAUCUGUACAGUCGGUCUACCGAGCUAAUUUCCACCCGCUCGGUGGAAGAUAUUCCUUCCGUUGA